AUUGAACGCUGGCGGCACGCUUAACACAUGCAAGUCGAACGGUAACAGAUCUAGCUUGCUAGAUGCUGACGAGUGGCGGACGGGUGAGUAACGCGUAGGAACCUACCCUGGAGCGAGGGACAACUUGAGGAAACUUGAGCUAAUACCCCAUACGCUUUUAGGAGGAAAGGUUGCAUUUCGGUGCAGCCGCUCUGGGAUGGGCCUGCGUUAGAUUAGCUUGUUGGUGAGGUAAAGGCUCACCAAGGCGACGAUCUAUAGCUGUUCUGAGAGGAAGAUCAGCCACACUGGGACUGAGACACGGCCCAG
rnacentral:rRNA from 1 species